rnacentral:rRNA from 1 species
AUGAACGCUAGCGGCAGGCUUAAUACAUGCAAGUCGAGGGGUAACAUGGGUAGCAAUACCUGAUGACGACCGGCAAACGGGUGCGGAACACGUACGCAACCUUCCAUAACUGGUGAAUAGCCCUCCGAAAGGAGGAUUAAUACAUCGUAAUAUAAUGAAGUGGCAUCACUUUAUUAUCAUAGGCUUCGGCCGGUUUUGGAUGGGCGUGCGCCUGAUUAGGUAGUUGGCGGGGUAACGGCCCACCAAGCCUGCGAUCAGUAACUGGUGUGAGAGCACGACCAGUCACACGGGCACUGAGACACGGGCCCGACUCCUACGGGAGGCAGCAGUAAGGAAUAUUGGUCAAUGGACGAAAGUCUGAACCAGCCAUGCCGCGUGAAGGAUGAAGGCCCUCUGGGUUGUAAACUUCUUUUAUAGGGGACGAAAAAAGCUCAUUCUUGAGCACUUGACGGUACCCUAGGAAUAAGCACCGGCUAACUCCGUGCCAGCAGCCGCGGUAAUACGGAGGGUGCAAGCGUUAUCCGGAUUUACUGGGUUUAAAGGGUGCGUAGGUGGGCAGGUAAGUCAGUGGUGAAAUCUCCGAGCUUAACUCGGAAACUGCCAUUGAUACUAUCUGUCUUGAAUUAUCUGGAGGUGAGCGGAAUAUGUCAUGUAGCGGUGAAAUGCUUAGAUAUGACAUAGAACACCAAUUGCGAAGGCAGCUCACUACGGGUAUAUUGACACUGAGGCACGAAAGCGUGUGGAUCAAACAGGAUUAGAUACCCUGGUAGUCCACGCCCUAAACGAUGGAUACUCGACAUCAGCGAUACACUGUUGGUGUCUGAGCGAAAGCAUUAAGUAUCCUACCUGGGAAGUACGAUCGCAAGAUUGAAACUCAAGGAUUGACGGGGUCCGCACAAGCGGUGGAGCAUGUGGUU